rnacentral:rRNA from 1 species
UACGGAGGGUGCGAGCGUUGUCCGGAAUCACUGGGCGUAAAGGGCGCGUAGGCGGCAUGCCAAGCGUGUGGUGAAAGCCCGGGGCUCAACCCCGGGUCGGCCGUGCGGACUGGCAUGCUCGAGCACUGUAGGGGCGGGUGGAAUUCCGGGUGUAGCGGUGGAAUGCGUAGAGAUCCGGAGGAACAUCCGUGGCGAAGGCGGCUCUCUGGGACGGUACUGACGCUGAGGAGCGAAAGCGUGGGGAGCGAACAGG